AGCAUUUAUUAGAUAAAAAACCAAUAUAUGUUUUUAAAACAUAAAAUUUGGUGAUUUACAAUAACUAAGCAAAUCGCACAGUGCAAACUGGCGAUAAAUCAUUUAAGUUUCUGACCUAUCAGCUUUCGACGGUAAGGUAUUGGCUUACCGUGGCAGUGACGGUUAACGGGGAAUUAGGGUUCAAUUCCGGAGAGGGAGCCUGAGAAAUGGCUACCACAUCUAAGGAAGGCAGCAGGCGCGCAAAUUACCCAAUUCUAACAGUAUAAGAGAGGUAGUGACAAGAAAUAACAGUACAAGGCAGUUAAAAUGCUUUGUAAUUGGAAUGAUAGAAAUUUAAAUACUUUUUAAAGUAUCAAUUGGAGGGCAAGUCUGGUGCCAGCAGCCGCGGUAAUUCCAGCUCCAAUAGCGUAUAUUAAAAUUGUUGCAGUUAAAAAGCUCGUAGUUGAAUUUUUGCUAAAAAUAACCGGUCUGCUUUUAUUUAUAAAAGUGGUAUCUUGGUGUGUUUUUAGCAAUAAUGUCCUUUGAAAUGUUUUUUACUUCAUUGUAAAAAAGCAAUUUUUAGGAUUUUUACUUUGAGAAAUUU
rnacentral:rRNA from 1 species